ACAUGUCUGGGCACCCAUUAAACUGGUAUAAAUAAUUUCUUUACUUUUGUAGGGCAAAGUAAAGCACAACUGUUGCUUGAAAGAAGAGCUGGUUGAAGAUUGCACUCAUCCUGCAAUGCAACAGAGGAAACAUCAGACAAUCAUGAGGCCCCAUGGAUAUCUCUCAUCUCUGACAAAGGAGUGGAUGCAGAUGAUCUUCUCCCUUCUCCUCGCAAGCAAAAUUUAAUCAGAAAUUAUCUGUCUGAUUUCUAGUGUAGCCAGAAAAGAUCAGAUGAGCUUUCCCUUCACUGAAAACUUCAGCCAGUAAAAAAAGAGUGAUUCCAGCUCUAGAUUUCCAGGAAAUGACCAAAUCUGGUUUGCCCAUUUACAGGUUCCAUGACUGUCUGGAAACAGACGAGCAGUGAGUAGGGAUUUUAAUCUCGAAAGCAAAUUGUAAUCUGUUCAUUAUGUGAAUUCUUUAGCUUAGCAUGGCAAUUCGCCUGAGUGGUGUAAAAGGGAGCUUUGACUAGAAUAGAGAGAUAAAGGUGAAUUUUGCAGAAAAAAAAUCCAUAUUCUUACCUCUGCUGUACAGAGAAUACAUGAAUAUGCUGGAUAUUUUAUUGUUACAUUUUUUUAUUAUAACAUUUUCUUUGUGUAAGCCUUGCAUCACAGGAUUCCAGAAAAUAACAAAGACAGAAGGAGACCAAGGUACAUAUUCAGGCCAGCCCCUCCUCAGUGAUAAAAUAGCAUCCCACUACUCCAUAAGACACAACACACACUGCAGCCUCACUGUGCCCCUCAGGGCCAGCUGUGUGGGUGCUUUAUCCCUGAGAGCACUGACACCCACCUAAUGAGUGGCACUGACCUCUUCAGAGACAGCAAGGUACGAACACGUAUGGGGCAUCUUUUCCUGCCAACCCCAAACGUUCCAAAGGCAUGAGUCAGACCUCCCCGUCUCGUAAAUUAUAAGACUAGAUGAAACAAAUGUUAAUGAAAGCACCAAAUAAAUGUGUUGAUGUCCUUCUCUGCCAUGAAUUUUAUGGAGUCUAUGGAUUUGAGCCGUCAGAG